rnacentral:lncRNA from 1 species
AUUGAAGUAUCUUAAGUGAUUUUUUAAUUUAUUUCUCUACCUCACAUUUGAAGUUCUUGAAUCUUUCAAAGAUUUUAGAUUUAUGCCUCAUAAGAAUACAUAUUCGUACUAUAAAAAAUCAUCGAUAAAGAUGAUGAAGUAGAGAUAACCUCCUCUGACCGACACAUCAAAUGCGUCACACAUAUUAGUAUGUACCAGAGCCAAG